rnacentral:tRNA from 1 species
UCUAUAGUAGCUUAAAUUAAAGCAUUUAACUGUUAAUUAAAAAAUACUAAAAAGUCUACAGAG